GCCUAGCCGUAAAAUAUUUAUUUACAUCCUUAACCACCAGGGAAUUACGAGUAACCUUAAAACCCAAAGGACUUGACGGUGCCCCACCCACCUAGAGGAGCCUGUUCUAUAAUCGACACCCCCCGAUAUACCUUACCACUUCUAGCCUAUUCAGUCUGUAUACCUCCGUCGUAAGCUUACCAUGUGAACGCCACAGUGAGCCAAAAGAUUCGCUAUCAACACGUCAGGUCAAGGUGCAGCUCACGAAGCGGAAAGCAAUGGGCUACAAUCUCUCUAACAGAACAAACGAAAUACUGCAUGCAACACAGUUAUGAAGGUGGAUUUAGUAGUAAAAAGAAAAUAGAGUGUUCUUUUUAAUUAGGCGCUGGGACGCGUACACACCGCCCGUCACCCUCUUCAAGCCCCUUCAAGAAGAGGCAAGUCGUAACAUGGUAAGUGUACUGGAAAGUGCACUUGGAAACAAA
rnacentral:rRNA from 1 species